CCCUUAGAUGUCCGGGGCCGCACGCGCGCUACACUGAAGGAAUCAGCGUGGCUCUGUCCCUGGUCCGAAAGGAUUGGGAAACCCGUUGAAUCUCCUUCGUGAUAGGGAUUGGGGCUUGGAACUGUUCCCCAUGAACGAGGAAUUCCCAGUAAGCGCGAGUCAUAAGCUCGCGUUGAUUACGUCCCUGCCCUUUGUACACACCGCCCGUCGCACCUACCGAUUGAAUGGCCCGGUGAAAUCUCGGGACGGCGGCUUGGUCGCUUGCGUCCGACUGCUGAAACUUGAUUAAACCAUAUCAUUUAGAGGAAGGUGAAGUCGUAACA
rnacentral:rRNA from 1 species